GACGAACGCUGGCGGCGUGCUUAACACAUGCAAGUCGAACGGAAAGGCCUCUUUCGGGGGGUACUCGAGUGGCGAACGGGUGAGUAACACGUGAGUAACCUGCCCUUGACUUUGGGAUAACUUCAGGAAACUGGGGCUAAUACCGGAUAGGAGCUCCUGCUGCAUGGUGGGGGUUGGAAAGUUUCGGCGGUUGGGGAUGGACUCGCGGCGUAUCAGCUUUUUGGUGGGGUAGUGGCUUACCAAGGCUUUGACGGGUAGCCGGCCUGAGAGGGUGACCGGCCACAUUGGGACUGAGAUACGGCCCAGACUCCUACGGGAGGCAGCAGUGGGGAAUAUUGCACAAUGGGUGGAAGCCUGAUGCAGCAACGCCGUGUGCGGGAUGACGGCCUUCGGGUUGUAAACCGCUUUCGCUCAUGACGAAGCUUUGUGUGACGGUAGUGGGUAAAGAAGCACCGGCUAACUACGUG
rnacentral:rRNA from 1 species